UACGUAGGGCGCAAGCGUUGUCCGGAAUUAUUGGGCGUAAAGAGCUCGUAGGUGGUUUGUCACGUCUGCUGUGAAAACCUAGGGCUUAACCCUGGGCCUGCAGUGGAUACGGGCAGACUAGAGGUAGGUAGGGGAGAAUGGAAUUCCCGGUGUAGCGGUGAAAUGCGCAGAUAUCGGGAGGAACACCGGUGGCGAAGGCGGCAUCCUGGACCAUGACUGACGCUGAGGAGCGAAAGCCAGGGGAGCAAACGGG
rnacentral:rRNA from 1 species